rfam:Schistosoma rodhaini strain Burundi genome assembly, scaffold: SROB_scaffold0001727
GUCCAGCUGACGAGUCCCAAACAGGACGAAACGCGCGUCAAACUGGAU